rnacentral:tRNA from 1 species
UACUCUUUUAGUAUAACCAGUACAGUUGACUUCCAAUCAAUCAGUUUUGACCACAUUCAAAAAAGAGUAA